GAUGAAGAACGCAGCGAAAUGCGAUACUUGGUGUGAAUUGCAGAAUCCCGCGAAUCAUCGAGUUUUUGAACGCAAGUUGCGCCCGUAGCCAUUCGGCCGAGGGCACGUCUGCCUGGGUGUCACGCAUCGUUGCCCCCCCAAACUCCGGUUCGGGCGGGGCGGAAGUUGGCCUCCCGUGCGUGCCUGCGCGCGCGGUUAGCCCAAAAGCGAGUCCUCGGCGAUGAGCGCCACGACAAUCGGUGGUUUUUUUACCCUCGUUCCUCGUCGUGCGUGCCCCGUCGCCCGAACGCGCUCUUGCAACCCUUACGCGUCGCCUCGGUGGCGCUCCCAACGCGACCCCAGGUCAGGCGGGACUACCCGCUGAGUUUAAGCAUAUCAAUAAGCGGAGGA
rnacentral:misc_RNA from 1 species